rnacentral:misc_RNA from 1 species
AAGUCGUAACAAGGUUUCCGUAGGUGAACCUGCGGAAGGAUCAUUAAAUUCAGUAGCUUGCUACUGUGAAGGAGGGUCUAUUAGUCUGUAUAGUAUCACUACUGAUGAGCAGCACGACCCUCUGUCUAUACCCUUGUCUUUUGCGCACUCAUGUUUCCUCGGCGGCUUGAUACCCGCCGGCUGGAUCAAUCCUAUAACCUUUUUAAUUUUCAAUCAGCGUCUGAAAAACCUAAUAAUUACAACUUUCAACAACGGAUCUCUUGGUUCUG